UACGUAGGGUGCGAGCGUUGUCCGGAAUUAUUGGGCGUAAAGAGCUUGUAGGCGGUUUGUCGCGUCUGCUGUGAAAUCUCAAGGCUCAACCUUGAGCUUGCAGUGGGUACGGGCAGACUAGAGUGUGGUAGGGGAGACUGGAAUUCCUGGUGUAGCGGUGAAAUGCGCAGAUAUCAGGAGGAACACCGAUGGCGAAGGCAGCCCCCUGGGUCAAGAUUGACGCUCAUGGACACGAAAGCGUGGGGAGCAAACAGGA
rnacentral:rRNA from 1 species